rnacentral:rRNA from 1 species
GUGUGACUGCGUACCUUUUGUAUAAUGGGUCAGCGACUUAUAUUCUGUAGCAAGGUUAACCGAAUAGGGGAGCCGAAGGGAAACCGAGUCUUAACUGGGCGUUAAGUUGCAGGGUAUAGACCCGAAACCCGGUGAUCUAGCCAUGGGCAGGUUGAAGGUUGGGUAACACUAACUGGAGGACCGAACCGACUAAUGUUGAAAAAUUAGCGGAUGACUUGUGGCUGGGGGUGAAAGGCCAAUCAAACCGGGAGAUAGCUGGUUCUCCCCGAAAGCUAUUUAGGUAGCGCCUCGUGAAUUCAUCUCCGGGGGUAGAGCACUGUUUCGGCAAGGGGGUCAUCCCGACUUACCAACCCGAUGCAAACUGCGAAUACCGGAGAAUGUUAUCACGGGAGACACACGGCGGGUGCUAACGUCCGUCGUGAAGAGGGAAACAACCCAGACCGCCAGCUAAGGUCCCAAAGUCAUGGUUAAGUGGGAAACGAUGUGGGAAGGCCCAGACAGCCAGGAUGUUGGCUUAGAAGCAGCCAUCAUUUAAAGAAAGCGUAAUAGCUCACUGGUCGAGUCGGCCUGCGCGGAAGAUGUAACGGGGCUAAACCAUGCACCGAAGCUGCGGCAGCGACGCUUAUGCGUUGUUGGGUAGGGGAGCGUUCUGUAAGCCUGUGAAGGUGUACUGUGAGGUAUGCUGGAGGUAUCAGAAGUGCGAAUGCUGACAUAAGUAACGAUAAAGCGGGUGAAAAGCCCGCUCGCCGGAAGACCAAGGGUUCCUGUCCAACGUUAAUCGGGGCAGGGUGAGUCGACCCCUAAGGCGAGGCCGAAAGGCGUAGUCGAUGGGAAACAGGUUAAUAUUCCUGUACUUGGUGUUACUGCGAAGGGGGGACGGAGAAGGCUAUGUUGGCCGGGCGACGGUUGUCCCGGUUUAAGCGUGUAGGCUGGUUUUCCAGGCAAAUCCGGAAAAUCAAGGCUGAGGCGUGAUGACGAGGCACUACGGUGCUGAAGCAACAAAUGCCCUGCUUCCAGGAAAAGCCUCUAAGCAUCAGGUAACAUCAAAUCGUACCCCAAACCGACACAGGUGGUCAGGUAGAGAAUACCAAGGCGCUUGAGAGAACUCGGGUGAAGGAACUAGGCAAAAUGGUGCCGUAACUUCGGGAGAAGGCACGCUGAUAUGUAGGUGAAGCGACUUGCUCGUGGAGCUGAAAUCAGUCGAAGAUACCAGCUGGCUGCAACUGUUUAUUAAAAACACAGCACUGUGCAAACACGAAAGUGGACGUAUACGGUGUGACGCCUGCCCGGUGCCGGAAGGUUAAUUGAUGGGGUCAGCGCAAGCGAAGCUCUUGAUCGAAGCCCCGGUAAACGGCGGCCGUAACUAUAACGGUCCUAAGGUAGCGAAAUUCCUUGUCGGGUAAGUUCCGACCUGCACGAAUGGCGUAAUGAUGGCCAGGCUGUCUCCACCCGAGACUCAGUGAAAUUGAACUCGCUGUGAAGAUGCAGUGUACCCGCGGCAAGACGGAAAGACCCCGUGAACCUUUACUAUAGCUUGACACUGAACAUUGAGCCUUGAUGUGUAGGAUAGGUGGGAGGCUUUGAAGUGUGGACGCCAGUCUGCAUGGAGCCGACCUUGAAAUACCACCCUUUAAUGUUUGAUGUUCUAACGUNNNNNNNNNNNNNNNNNAUCCGGGUUGCGGACAGUGUCUGGUGGGUAGUUUGACUGGGGCGGUCUCCUCCUAAAGAGUAACGGAGGAGCACGAAGGUUGGCUAAUCCUGGUCGGACAUCAGGAGGUUAGUGCAAUGGCAUAAGCCAGCUUGACUGCGAGCGUGACGGCGCGAGCAGGUGCGAAAGCAGGUCAUAGUGAUCCGGUGGUUCUGAAUGGAAGGGCCAUCGCUCAACGGAUAAAAGGUACUCCGGGGAUAACAGGCUGAUACCGCCCAAGAGUUCAUAUCGACGGCGGUGUUUGGCACCUCGAUGUCGGCUCAUCACAUCCUGGGGCUGAAGUAGGUCCCAAGGGUAUGGCUGUUCGCCAUUUAAAGUGGUACGCGAGCUGGGUUUAGAACGUCGUGAGACAGUUCGGUCCCUAUCUGCCGUGGGCGCUGGAGAACUGAGGGGGGCUGCUCCUAGUACGAGAGGACCGGAGUGGACGCAUCACUGGUGUUCGGGUUGUCAUGCCAAUGGCACUGCCCGGUAGCUAAAUGCGGAAGAGAUAAGUGCUGAAAGCAUCUAAGCACGAAACUUGCCCCGAGAUGAGUUCUCCCUGACUCCUUGAGAGUCCUGAAGGAACGUUGAAGACGACGACGUUGAUAGGCCGGGUGUGUAAGCGCAGCGAUGCGUUGAGCUAACCGGUACUAAUGAACCGUGAGGCUUAACCUU